AUGAAGUCGGAAUUGCUAGUAAUCGCGGAUCAGCAUGCCGCGGUGAAUACGUUCCCGGGCCUUGUACACACCGCCCGUCACACCAUGGGAGCCGGUAAUACCCGAAGUCAGUAGUCUAACCGCAAGGAGGACGCUGCCGAAGGUAGGAUUGGCGACUGGGUGAAGUCGUAACAAGGUAUC
rnacentral:rRNA from 1 species